CAGCCGCCGCGGGAACACCGGCGGCCCGAGUGGUGAUCGUGAUUAUUGGGUCUAAAGGGUCCGUAGCCGGUUUGGUCAGUCCUCCGGGAAAUCUGAUAGCUCAACUAUUAGGCUUUCGGGGGAUACUGCCAGACUUGGAACCGGGAGAGGUAAGAGGUACUACAGGGGUAGGAGUGAAAUCUUGUAAUCCCUGUGGGACCACCUGUGGCGAAGGCGUCUUACCAGAACGGGUUCGACGGUGAGGGACGAAAGCUGGGGGCACGAACCGGAUUAGAUACCCGGGUAGUCCCAGCCGUAAACGAUGCUCGCUAGGUGUCAGGCAUGGCGCGACCGUGUCUGGUGCCGCAGGGAAGCCGUGAAGCGAGCCACCUGGGAAGUACGGCCGCAAGGCUGAAACUUAAAGGAAUUGGCGGGGGAGCACAACAACGGGUGGAAGCCUGCGGUUUAAUUGGACUCAACGCCGGACAACUCACCGGGGGCGACAGCAAUAUGUAGGCCAAGCUGAAGACUUUGCCUGAAUCGCUGAGAGGAGGUGCAUGG
rnacentral:rRNA from 1 species